UACGUAGGGGGCAAGCGUUGUCCGGAAUCAUUGGGCGUAAAGAGCGUGUAGGCGGCCAGAUAAGUCCGCUGUGAAAUCUCGAGGCUCAACUUCGAGCUGUCGGUGGAAACUGUCUGGCUAGAGUCCGGAAGAGGAGAGUGGAAUUCCUGGUGUAGCGGUGAAAUGCGCAGAUAUCAGGAAGAACACCCGUGGCGAAGGCGGCUCUCUGGUACGUGACUGACGCUGAGACGCGAAAGCGUGGGGAGCGAACAGG
rnacentral:rRNA from 1 species